AUGGGCGUCAGGGUGGUCGCCGCCUUCCUCGCCCACGUCGGCGCCAGCACCUCGUGUGGACGUUUUUAUCCAAAUCCAGUGGCAUGGGGUCUUUGCUACAAGCGUGAAAUGAGCCCAUACCAGAACUAUUAUUGCGACGACAGCAACGAAAUAUAUCGCCGUGUCGAAGGAGUCGAAUACUAUGGCCGAGGCGCUCUUCCUGUUUACCGGAACUACAACUACGGUAUCAUCGGUAAGGGUAUCAAGCAGGAUCUGCUGAGCCACCCAGAGUUGCUGGAACAGAAUGCCACCUUAGCAUUUGAGGCAGCAAUCUGGAGGUGGAUGACUCCAGUGAAGUGGAGACAGCCGUCAGCCCAUGAUGCCUUUGUUGGCAACUGGAAACCAACCAAGAAUGAUAUUUUGUCCAAGAGAUAUCCUGGCUUUGGUACUACAAUGAACAUCAUGCGUGGUGAUUGCAUCUGCGGUCGAGGGUUCACCGAUGAGAUGAAUAUCACUAUAUCCCACUACAUAAAUUAUCUCGGCUUGAUGGGAGUUAAUCAUGAGCACUCUGGGAGUAGCUUGGAUUGUGCCGAUCAGGUGGUAUUCAAUCCGUCCUCAAAGAGUUUCGGCUCAUAA
rnacentral:rRNA from 1 species